AUGGGCUCCGACUCCAAGGAGCUGCUCGGGAUCGAGCCCCUCGAGCUGCGCUUCCCCUUCGAGUUCAUGAAGCAGAUCUCGUGCUCCAUGGAGCUCACCAACAAGACCGACGACUACCUCGCCUUCAAGGUCAAGACGACCAGCCCCAAGAAGUACUGCGUUCGGCCCAACAGCGGCAUUGUGCCGCCGCGGUCCACCAGCAGCGUCGUCGUGACAAUGCAGGCGCUGAAACAGGCGCCGCCCGACAUGCAGUGCAAGGACAAGUUUCUCGUGCAGAGCGCUGUGGUGACGGAGGGAACAGCAGUAAAGGAUAUCACUGGAGAGAUGUUUAAAAAAGAAUCAGGCAAUGUGGUGGAUGAGGUGAGACUGAAGGUUGUCUACGUGCAACCACCCCGGCCACCAUCGCCUGUGCGGGAGGGAUCUGAAGAGGGUUCGUCGCCUCGGCCUUCAUGGUCAGAUGGGGCAAACAUAAAUUAUCAAGAUAUGCAGGCAACAAGGGAAUCUGAUGAGCCACCAUUGUCCUCGGCGCACAAGGAACCAUCUGAGAUAACCACUGAGACAUCCCCGUUGAUUUCAAGAUUAACUGAAGAGAGAAACUCUGCUAUUCAGCAGAACAACAAGCUUCGUGAGGAACUGGACCUUGUGAGAAGGGAGAUCAGCAAGCAGAAUGGCAAUGGCGGUUUCCCGUUGGUGUUCGUGGUUGCCGUUGCUCUGCUGGGAAUUCUGCUGGGUUGUCUCAUGAAGAGAUAG
rnacentral:rRNA from 1 species